AAAAAAUGAGGCCGCAUAGUCAUUUCAAAACCCCCCGCUUGCUGGCUUUACAGUGUUUACACACAAACUCUCUCUUUCUGAAAAUGGCGAAUGAACCACCGUCGUCCUCCUCGUGGCCAUGGUUCCUCCAGGUAGUGCCUCUCAUGGUAGUUGCAUUAAUAGCAGCUCACGUCCUCGCUCUGGUCUACUGGAUUUACAGAUUAGCGACCGAGAAACAGCCUCAAAGGAGGAAAGCACACUAAGGAACGUCUGAUUUGGAUGCAGAAAGAUGAAGAGGGUUGGUCAAACCCUAAUCCGUCGAUUGCUCUGGAAAGAAAUACUAGUAAUGCGUUUAAUUAAUAGAAUUCUCUGGUAAAGUUAUUUUUUCAUUAUGGGUAUUAUAACUGCAUUGCUUGGUGUUUAAAUAGACUUUUAUUACGUGUGAAUCGAUGGUUGAUACGGUUGAAGCAAAGCGAACUGAGACCAAACGGAGUUGUUCUCGGAUCUUGGUUGUUGAAAUUCUUAGAGGACUUGAUUUGUAUUCGUUUUUAUUUUGUUUUUCUGUUGACUAAUGUAGUUUUAGGAAGUAGUCGAUGUAACACUCGCUUGUUUGUCCGUGUUUUAAGUUUCUUUCCUCCUAUACUUGUGUAGGUUCAGUUUGGUUGCUGAGAAAUUAGGGAAUAAGACCGUGCUUUAUCAAUUUCUUUUACAGACUAAUAUUUUUUACAAACUUUUUAGAGUAGUUCCGCUAUAUGCUCCGUUUGGUAGCUGAGAAAAUUGCAACGGGAAAAAAUGUCAUGCAGCAAAUUUGGAUUUUUAUGUAUCGCAUCCUUAGCCCUUAGGUAUUCCAAGCUUACUCGAGGUUUGUUGUAUUAAUAUUCUUGAAUCACUAGGAAAUGAAAUGCACAUUUUAAAAAGUUCGAAGCACGUAGAUUCAGAUCUGUCUUUGGGUACGAGUUAUGGGUUACCCUCUGGGCCGCUAUUCUUUUUCCUUUUUAGUGGAUCUAUUCUACCGUGGGAAGUGAUACAAAUACAAAUGGAUUACAUAAACCCACAAAAUUACAUGGUUUAUUGUGAUCCGUUACAUCUAUUUUAAGGUAAAAGAAAUUUUAUAAUCUAACAUACCACAUCAAGUUACUAUCAUUCUGUGGGUUUAUUUUUAUAUAAUCUGUUUGUGAGUAAAAUAUUUCUCUUUUAUCUUAUAACCAGGCAAAUUACUAAUGAAAGCUUGUCCAUGAUUCCUUUCAUUUUUUUGGUGAAUCUACCUCUAUAUCAUAGGCAGGUGAAUUACUGAAUGGUCUUCAUAUAUUGGCCUAUAUUCAGUUGCUGUUUGGGUUUGGGGCUAAAGAAUGUUGGUGUGCGUUGGUUGAAGGCCCAUGUUUAUUUGAUUUCCUGGGUGAGGUCGGCACUAGGCGGCUUGACACCUACCCAAAGAGACAAGAGUUGGAGAAUAAAGUCAGCCUAUUACAAAAGUCAUAGAGGGCCAAUGACUUAAAGAUGGAAGAAAUGCAUCUCUUGAAUGGUACAGGAACAGCUUCUCUACACCACUGCAGGGCAACAAGCUGCUGGAACAUUUGGUGGCAGAAAGAGAUAUCCAAUCAAAGCACAAGUUUCAACAGUUUGACCAGAGGCAAGGAACAUUUUUGUAGCAUCAACUAUAACAGGUAAAAAGGAAAUACCAGGAUGGAAAGGGGAAAAAAAGAAAUGGAAAUACCUUGAACAACAUAGAUACAAAAACAUGGCAGAGAGGCCUGGCUGCCAAAAAGUUUAGUGGCAACAAGAGAGCUCUAGACAGCACCAAGUGCUGGUCAAAUUCGAUCGAUAAGGUACCUUGCCAGAGAGUUAAUUGGCUUACUAGAGUCAAAAUUUACCAUCCUGCGGCUUUUAAUCUUGAUCCGGGCAAGGUAAUCAGCUGCAAUCCAGGGAAAACUCAACAUCACUACAUUCUCUGGACCAUCUGGCUCUUGCAACUCCAGAGAUUUCUUCACCCAUUUAGGAUGAUGUGGAGGCAUGGUGACAAUGUGCCCAGUCUUGGGAAAAUCAAAAGCUUUAGCUGCUAAAUCAGCAAGCGUUAAGCAGUUCUCAUCCAAAACCCCGUACUCACUGCCGUCAGCAUGAACCACAUGUGCAUUGCAG